rnacentral:rRNA from 1 species
CCUACGGGAGGCAGCAGUGAGGAAUAUUGGUCAAUGGACGAGAGUCUGAACCAGCCAAGUAGCGUGAAGGAUGACUGCCCUAUGGGUUGUAAACUUCUUUUAUAUGGGAAUAAAAUGUUCCACGUGUGGGAUUUUGUAUGUACCAUAUGAAUAAGGAUCGGCUAACUCCGUUCCAGCAGCCGCGGUAAUACGGAGGAUCCGAGCGUUAUCCGGAUUUAUUGGGUUUAAAGGGAGCGUAGGUGGAUUGUUAAGUCAGUUGUGAAAGUUUGCGGCUCAACCGUAAAAUUGCAGUUGAAACUGGCAGUCUUGAGUACAGUAGAGGUGGGCGGAAUUCGUGGUGUAGCGGUGAAAUGCUUAGAUUUCACGAAGAACUCCGAUUGCGAAGGCAGUUCACUGGACUGCAACUGACACUGAGGCUCGAAAGUGUGGGUAUCAAACAGGAUUAGAUACCCCGGUAGUC